rnacentral:tRNA from 1 species
GAUAUGAAAAACCAUCGUUGUAUUUCAACUAUAAGAAC